GAUGAACGCUGGCGGCGUGCCUAAUACAUGCAAGUCGAGCGAACGGACGAGAAGCUUGCUUUUCUGAUGUUAGCGGCGGACGGGUGAGUAACACGUGGAUAACCUACCUAUAAGACUGGGAUAACUUCGGGAAACCGGAGCUAAUACCGGAUAAUAUUUUGAACCGCAUGGUUCAAAAGUGAAGGACGGUCUUGCUGUCACUUAUAGAUGGAUCCGCGCUGCAUUAGCUAGUUGGUAAGGUAACGGCUUACCAAGGCAACGAUGCAUAGCCGACCUGAGAGGGUGAUCGGCCACACUGGAACUGAGACACGGUCCAGACUCCUACGGGAGGCAGCAGUAGGGAAUCUUCCGCAAUGGGCGGAAGCCUGACGGAGCAACGCCGCGUGAGUGAUGAAGGUCUUCGGAUCGUAAAACUCUGUUAUUAGGGAAGAACAUAUGUGUAAGUAACUGCGCACAUCUUGACGGUACCUAAUCAGAAAGCCACGGCUAACUACGUG
rnacentral:rRNA from 1 species